CUUCUGGUGAUGAGACCUUUGUCCAGUUCUGCUGCUGAACCCGAGCGAUGACAGUUUGGAGAUCUGAGGAGG
ensembl:snoRNA